rnacentral:misc_RNA from 1 species
UGAUGUGAGUGCUGGAUCCUGGUUCAUUGGCCUUGAUGUGAAGUAUGUUGAUGAAGGGAAGUUCUGCUGUUCUUCCUGGUCUUCAGGGUCUGUAUGCGCAGCAGCUUGAUUGGAUCGCCUCAUUUAGUACAUAUAGAGAACAAGUCACUGGAGAUCAGUUUUGCUGCAAUUUGCAUUUGGUGCCGUGUACAAAGGUGGUUGAAGUUUUUCACUCCAAUCAUGAAGAGCCGCGUGAUAGAGAGAGCACACACCUUAGUUCUUGACAUCACCAUGCCUUCCAGUAGGAAUGUAGAAAGGGUUGUUGGAGUGUAAGACACUAUGGUCAGAAAAGUUAUUUGCAUGGUGAUGUAUUCACAGAGUGCACACAUUGUCCAUUAUUUAAGCAUGGACUAUUACUAUCAAUGUUAUGCAGAUAUUAAGUUUGUUGAACUAUGUGAGGAUUG